GGGAUGGACCGCCUCGGCGGAAAGUCAAACUGAGUGAUUCUAUGCUUCCGAGAAAAGCUGCGGGCCGAGCAUUCCGGCUGUCCGUACCGCAAACCGACUCAGGUGGGCGGGAAGAGUAUUCCAAGGCGUUUGAGAGAACCGUGGUUAAGGAACUAGGCAAAUUGACACCGUAACUUCGGGAUAAGGUGUGCCUCCGAGGUAGAGCUGAACAGGCCGAGCCAGAAGAGGUCGCAGAGAAUUGGGGGUAGCGACUGUUUACCAAAAACACAGGACUGUGCGAAGUCACGAAGACGACGUAUACGGUCUGACGCCUGCCCGGUGCUGGAAGGUUAAGAGGAGAGGUUAGAGCAAUCGAAGCUUUGAAUCGAAGCCCCAGUAAACGGCGGCCGUAACAAUAACGGUCCUAAGGUAGCGAAAUUCCUUGUCGGUAAGUUCCGACCUGCACGAAUGGCGUAACGACUUCCCGCUGUCUCAACCAUGGACUCAGUGG
rnacentral:rRNA from 1 species